rnacentral:rRNA from 1 species
GGGCACGACACCGGAGAGGGAGCCUGAGAAACGGCUACCACAUCCAAGGAAGGCAGCAGGCGCGCAAAUUACCCAAUCCCGACACGGGGAGGUAGUGACAAUAAAUAACAAUACAGGGUUCUUUUGGAUCUUGUAAUUGGAAUGAGUACAAUUUAAAUCUCUUAACGAGGAACAAUUGGAGGGCAAGUCUGGUGCCAGCAGCCGCGGUAAUUCCAGCUCCAAUAGCGUAUAUUAAAGUUGUUGCAGUUAAAAAGCUCGUAGUUGAAUUUCGGGAUCAAUGUUUCGGUCAUGCCGUUGGUAUGUACUGAUAUUAUUGAUUUCUCACCUUCUAAAGAACCGUAAUGCCAUUAAUUUGGUGUCACGGGGAAUUAGGACUGUUACCUUGAAAAAAUUAGAGUGUUUAAAGCAGGCUCACGCUUGAAUACAUUAGCAUGGAAUAAUGAAAUAGGACAUCCGAUUCUAUUUUGUUGGUUUCUAGGAUCGAUGUAAUGAUUAAUAGGGAUAGUUGGGGGCAUUAGUAUUCAAUUGUCAGAGGUGAAAUUCUUGGAUUUAUUGAAGACUAACUACUGCGAAAGCAUUUGCCAAGGAUGUUUUCAUUAAUCAAGAACGAAAGUUAGGGGAUCGAAGACGAUCAGAUACCGUCGUAGUCUUAACCAUAAACUAUGCCGACUAGGGAUCGGAUGAUGUUAAUUUUUUAAUGACUCAUUCGGCGCCUUACGGGAAACCAA